GUCCUCAGCCCUGCGUACACCAGCGAGCUCUAACACACACAUGACUUUGAGCACACUUGUAGGAGUCUGCAGAGGACGCGUACACGCGCGCAGACAGAACCUGCUGUAACUCUCCGUGGUGCCUUCUGGGGCGGGGGAGAGCGUGGCUCCAAGCCCCGGACAGCCCAAACAGCCCCGCGAACCCACCUGUGCGCGGGCCGCGGCCCCGGCCCGAGGCGCCGAGCCCGGCCCAGCCCGGCCCCACACCUGCCCCGCUCACAAAAUGGCAGGUGAGCAGCGCGGCCGCCCCCGCCCCGGCCCCUCGCACUCACGAUCUCCAGGAAGAUGACGGCUCCCGAGAAGGAUGGACAUAUUUGUGCACAUGUAGAGAGUGUUUUCAUCCACUACAGUGAAUAACUCCUGACAGUGGAGUGAGGAGUUCUCAGAUGUGCUGGAUGAAGGGAGAGAAAGGGAUGGUGAAUUGUCUACCAAAAAAUGUAUUUCUGCUUCUUCAGGUCCUGAGAAAGUUGUGUCUCUCCUGCUAACAUGGACUUGCAGAAAGCUCUGGUAUUCCUGAGCUAUUGAAGUUUCUUGUUGGACUUACUGACAACAUUUUAGAUUUUCUCUGACAAACUUUAAAGUCUUUUCAAGACCUAGAAAUUAGUGAGAAAUAAAUCCAUCAGUUCACAUGGAAGGCCAAAGACAAUCUGAGAAGCUAUAAACUGAUCAGCAUUGCUUUGGUCCCUGUGAAACAUAAAGGAUUGGAUCUCCUUGGAGCACAUGUCUGGGCAUAUGAAGGAGAAAGUGAUCAAAAACAAUCAGCAUGGAUCUACCAAAUAUUUGCAGAUGAUACCAAAUUGGAGGGAACAGUGAAUAUGCUGUGGGCAGUGCUAUCAUACAGAAGAACCUAGGCAGGCUGGAGGAAUGGGCCAAGAGGAACCUUAUGAAAUUCAGCAAGGACAAGUGCAAGGUUCCUGUCACCUGGGAAUGCUGAGCCCUUGCACCAAUACAUGCUGGGGGUGAUUGGUUUUCCUGCAAGGGCUCUGGAGAGUCAUGGCAGACAGCACACAGCCUGUGCAUCAGGAGCGUGCCCUGGCAGCAAAGAAGGCAAUGGCCUCCUGACUGUGCUGGAGAGAGCACAGCCAGGAGCUUGUGGGAAGGGAUUAUGCUCCUGCUCAGCACCUGUCAGACCACAUCCAGGCACUGUGUCCUUUUGAGCCCCUCCAGGAAAUGCAGUGAGAAAUUGGAGCCAAGUUUAGCUGAGACUCCCCAGAAUGGCUGGAGUCAGAGCCAGGUGAGGAGGAUGUAAAGGAACUGGAUUUAUGCAGCCUGGAGAAGAGGCGGCUUCAGGUGAACCCAAUAGCAGCUGCCAGCACCUGUGAGGGUGUCUUCAAGAAGACAAAUCCAGGCUCUUCUCAGUGGUAUGAAAUACCAGAUUGCUAGAAGAAACACCUGAAGCAGUGAGUCACUGGCCUCUUCCAGCUUGGGACUUUGCAAGGCAGAAGAACAGAAAUCAUAGGAAGUAUGUCUCCCUCCAGAAUCCAGGACAUGCCCACCCUUUCAAAUGAUGGAAAUAUCACUCAUGCUGGGCUACAGCACAGUUGUCCUCCUGCACCAAAUACUCUAAACUGAAAAAAUCCCUCUACCAGCCAAAGAGUCUUUGAAAAGCCCUGGGUCUAAUGACUGAUUUGCUUUGA